UGGGGAAUCUUGCGCAAUGCGCGAAAGCGUGACGCAGCAACACCGCGUGAGGGAAGACGGCCUUCGGGUUGUAAACCUCUUUCAGGAGGGACGAAGGGCGACCGGUGAACAGCCGUGUCGCUUGACGGUACCUCCAGAAGAAGCACCGGCUAACUACGUGCCAGCAGCCGCGGUAAUACGUAGGGUGCAAGCGUUGUCCGGAAUCAUUGGGCGUAAAGCGCGCGUAGGCGGCCCGAUAAGUCCGCUGUAA
rnacentral:rRNA from 1 species